rnacentral:misc_RNA from 1 species
UCCGGCUUAACGCCGGCAGUCUACCUAGAGUGCCCAACUUAAUGGUGGCAACUAAGUACGAGGGUUGCGCUCGUUGCGGGACUUAACCCAACAUCUCACGACACGAGCUGACGACAGCCAUGCACCACCUGUGACCGUGCCCCGAAGGGAGAGUGUGUUUCCACACCUGUCACGGACAUGUCAAGCCCAGGUAAGGUUCUUCGCGUUGCGUCGAAUUAAACCACAUGCUCCGCUGCUUGUGCGGGCCCCCGCCAAUUCCUUUGAGGUUUAGCCUUGCGGCCGUACUCCCCAGGCGGGGUGCUUAAUGCGUUAGCUUCGGCACGGACGGAGUCGACACCGCCCACACCUAGCACCCAUCGUUUACAGCGUGGACUAC